rnacentral:rRNA from 1 species
CCUACGGGCGGCAGCAGUGGGGAAUAUUGCUCAAUGGGCGAAACCCUGAUGCAGCGACGCCGCGUGAGUGAAGAAGUCUCUCGGUAUGUAAAGCUCCAUCUGCAGGGAAGCAAAUGACCGUACCUGACUAAGACGCCCCGGCUGACUAAGAGCCAGCAGCCGCGGUAAUACGUCGGGGGCACGCGUUAUCCGGGUUUACGGGGGGUAUAGGGAGCGUAGACGGCGCUGCAAGUCCGGAGGGAAAGCCCAGGGCGUAACCCUGGUACUGCGCUGGAAACUGUGGAGCUUGAGUGCGGGAGGGGCAUGCGGAAUGCGUGGUGUAGCGGUGAAAUGCAUAGAUAUUAGGAAGAACACCGACGGCGAAGGCAGCCUACUGGACCGUAACUGACGUUGAGGCACGAAAGCGGGGGGAGCGAACAGGAUUAGAUACCCUAGUAGUC